CUGCUCCUCUAUCUGGGUCUAGAUUGAAGCUCAGCAAGAGAAAUCUACGCAACUUGAACUCCAUCCCGUCUCUAUCAGGAGGUGGCUGGUCCUCUGGAACCACAAUGAGGCAUUCGAGGGAUCUGAGUUCUUAAGUCAGUCAAAGGUAUCAAGUGCAUAAUUGUUUAAAUGAAAGAAGACGGCAGAACACCCACUAAGUGCUCUCCGCGGAGGUCACAUUUGUACUGGUCCAUUGGGAGCUUAUCUAAGUAGAAGGCAUG
rnacentral:lncRNA from 1 species